GAUGAACGCUGGCGGCGUGCCUAAUACAUGCAAGUCGAGCGAACAGACGAGGAGCUUGCUCCUCUGACGUUAGCGGCGGACGGGUGAGUAACACGUGGAUAACCUACCUAUAAGACUGGGAUAACUUCGGGAAACCGGAGCUAAUACCGGAUAAUAUAUUGAACCGCAUGGUUCAAUAGUGAAAGACGGUUUUGCUGUCACUUAUAGAUGGAUCCGCGCCGCAUUAGCUAGUUGGUAAGGUAACGGCUUACCAAGGCAACGAUGCGUAGCCGACCUGAGAGAGUGAUAGGCCACACUGGAACUGAGACACGGUCCAGACUCCUACGGGAGGCAGCAGUAGGGAAUCUUCCGCAAUGGGCGAAAGCUUGACGGAGCAACGCCGCGUGAGUGAUGAAGGUCUUCGGAUCGUAAAACUCUGUUAUUAGGGAAGAACAAAUGUGUAAGUAACUAUGCACGUCUUGACGGUACCUAAUCAGAAAGCCACGGCUAACUACGUG
rnacentral:rRNA from 1 species